rnacentral:lncRNA from 1 species
CAUGCACGAAAGGUUAGCAGAGGACGCUACAUUCUAUCAUUACUCCCACCUACUAUAGUACUAUCAAGUUAUAAUUUCAUUGAUGGUGAUAUCUGCUUAUAUAUAUACUAGAUUUAGAAGUAGAGAGAGCUUGGAAUCCACAUCAGACAACUUCAUGUCAUAGAUUCAUGGAUGGUUCUACUUAAAUUCAUCAAUCGAGUCGAGUGUUACUCGCUACGGCUAUAUGGAGGUGGAGCACACUAGUACGUGACAGUAACAUGCAAGACUCUUCUCUCUUCUCACGCAUGGGGUCCUAGCUCAUACACAUGUCGAGUGUAUAUCUCUUUUCAUGUUCAUCGAUUCGGCUUGGGAGGCAGAGGGAAUUCAGGUUGUACAUCCAAAGUGCGUCGUGCUUCAAAAAUCAAGAGACAUUCUGUCUUUGUUGACAUCAAAAAUGCUAAACAUACAAAGACUUACAAAAUGUUACACGUUGACUAGGAUUUUUUUU